rnacentral:rRNA from 2 species
UGGGGAAUCUUCCGCAAUGGACGAAAGUCUGACGGAGCAACGCCGCGUGAGUGAAGAAGGUCUUCGGAUUGUAAAGCUCUGUCGUUUGGGACGAACGUGCUUUGUGUGAAUAAUGCAAGGUAAUGACGGUACCAAAGGAGGAAGCCACGGCUAACUACGUGCCAGCAGCCGCGGUAAUACGUAGGUGGCAAGCGUUGUCCGGAAUUAUUGGGCGUAAAGGGCGUGUAGGUGGAUCCUUAAGUCGUGUGUCUAAAUGCGGAGCUCAACUCCGUAUAGGCGCAGGAAACUGGGGAUCUUGAGUGCAGGAGAGGAAAGUGGAAUUCCCAGUGUAGCGGUGAAAUGCGUAGAUAUUGGGAGGAACACCAGUGGCGAAGGCGACUUUCUGGACUGUGUCUGACACUGAGGCGCGAAAGCUAGGGGAGCGAACGGG